UCGCAUAAUUUAAAAAAAAAAAAAAACUGUAAAAAGUUGUCUGAGAAGCACACAUUUUGUCUGAUUCGACAUAUGACAAUGGUAUAUUGUACAUAAAUAUAGAGCUGGGGUCACAGAUAACCUCACAUGGUCGCUUGAACAUUGUGUGUGUGUGUGUGUGUGUGUGUGUGUGUGUGUGUGUGCAUUUGCGUGUGUGCGUGUGUGUGUGCGUGUGUGUGCGCGCGUGUGUGUGUGUGUGUGUGAGACAGAGAUCAGACCAUCACAUUGUUUGUUGAUACUAAAACCAGUCUACAUUCAGAGCCUUUAAAAAUAAUAGCAUUUAAAAUGGAAGCUUGGAAGCUGAAGCACCAACAACAUUUAAAUCACCUCAUAACCUCUUGUGUAAAAGCAAUAGAUCUACUUUAAGACUGCAGCAUUGCAGAUUGUGGAAUGAAAGUGUUACUUGAGUUUCAGACCUUUAUGACUCGAGCUGUACAUCAUAGUUGAUAAUUAUCAUAAGACACCAUAGAGCAUUUUAACAUUUUAAGGGCUUCCAGGAACUCUUAAUGUGCAUUAUAUUGCAUGAAUAGUGCACAUUAAAUAGCUCCAAUAAAGUGCAGAGUUUGGAUGUACACAAAGUUAAACCAAGUUUUUAAUUUAAAUUCUGAGUAUUAUAUGACUGUAAAAGUUUUAUGGCUUUGAAAGACAUUUUCAACUGGAGCAUAAAAACUGGAACUACCACAGACACUUUAGUCCAGAGAGGUUACUUCAGGUGAGAUUUUCUUUUGUGAGAGACAUGAAUGCAAUUUCUUGGAGUUGUGUGAAACACAGAUUCUGCGAUCAAACUGCAAUUCUGUUGGUGUACGUAUUUAACUUAAAUGAAUUUAUUUAUCUAGAUUCAGCACUGACUAAAGCAUUUCAGGAUUUUACUGCUGUCUCAUGGUCUCCUUUAAACAUUUUCCUUUGAAGUGUCUUUUUGUGUUUCCAUCACCCCUCGCUCCUCUCUAUUUCCCUUGUAAAAGCCUUACUGCUAAUAAUGGGGUAAUGGCUCUAAGGAGAGCGCUGCCAGAGAGCUGCUGGGUGAUUCAGAUCUGAGGCAGGGGAGGAGGUACAUGGCAGUGCCAGACACAGCUCCUCGCUCCGCUGGCUUUAUUUUAUCUUGCUGCGAAGGUCAUGAGUUGAGCAAAGACAAGCAGAUUCAGGUCUGUGCAAAUGAGGUAAAAUCUUGUCUUCAGCCAGCAGAGCAGGCCAGUCAAUGGAGGACAGAGGCAGGGAGAGUUUUUCAGAACAUGAUUUCAGCUUUUAAUGACAAAAUCUGAAGUCUACUCACAUUCUGUUCAGCUGCUGCAGAGUUGGUUUUGUUUGGUCCAUGUGUGUAGGAGCAGCAGGGAUACUAUGAGCAGCACAAUGAUGGUAUUUCUCAGAGUGGGUUCAGUCAAUCAGUCACUGUCUGCUUGUUUUCUCCUUUGUGUUGCUGGCAAUGGAUUUCUGUAAAUAAUUGCUGUAACAGGUUAUAAUUUAUAUCUGUAGGAAAUCACCAGGAAGACUGAAGUUCUUGAGCUGAAAGGUGACCUGAAAUGCUAACGCUGCACCAAGCUAUUUGUAUAAAGGAAGGGAUUCAACAGCAUUUAAAGGAUUUCAAAUACAGAAUUGAAAUGCCUAUGAAAUCUAAAUCUUUCCUUUGCAAAUCUUAAGAGAUUCAGUUCACCCAAUGCAACAAAAUCUCAAAGGUUUCAUCUGUGUGUGGCUGAAACGGCAAAAAUGUUACAGUCUUUAGCGGUAGUCUGAUCAAUGUCCACAACCUGCAGCUACAACCUGAAAAUGAGAUGGACAGCAUGAUAUAUAAAAUGUAAACGCAAGUAACACAUUAAAGGCACAGCUGCAAUGCACCAAAAAUCCCUGAAUGUUUCACGCAUUUGGUUUUGUUAAUAAUAAAAAAGAACAAACAAUAUUCAUAAUUGCAAGCAUCCGAUUUUACUACUACUACAACUCUUUUAAUGGCAGUAUACUGGUUUACAGUGCUGCACCUCCAGUAUUUUUGUAAUAUUCCAUCCCAAUAAAAACAAGGUCAAGGUUUUCUGGAGGACGUACGUUUCUCCUCAGGCAGAUAUACAGCCAGAAAAUAAAUGCUUCUUCACUCUGACUUAUCUCUCAAUCAAAGGCUAAUUUAGUCGUUUGGUUUUCAGAGCCAGAGAAGGCAGCUGACAGGGCGAUCCUCGAGGAGACGGAUAAAGUUUCUUCACUGAUCCAGGCCCUGAUCUGCCCUAAUGCUCACUCUGGGCAAAAGAACAAAAUGCCGGUUUCUAAACACCCGCCCCAGGUCAGAGCUCUUAUCUGCUCCCUGCACUGUGUGGUGCUGAGCUGGGAAAAAGAAAACUGAUUUCUGGUCAAUUCACGGACUCCUUUGGUGUCAGUGUCGGCUUUGAGGAGUCUAUGUAGUGCUGCCAAAGAGCUACAGAAUGUGUGGGUUAUGUGAGGAUAUUCAUGCUUGAAUAAAUUAAGAGUCUCAUUUGCCAAACACUGACUGUUCUGUACAAGAUGAUCUCACCUGGUGUCCUUAUUUCAUCUGCUUUUAUUUUAAGUCAGGAAGUUCUUCUUUGUCCCAACAGUUUGUUCUUCUUGGGGCAUCCUGAGGUAUUCUGAGGUCAGAUGGGAUGCAGUAUGUAAUCCACUCAGCAUGUUUUGGGUUUUUUCCUAAGUUCACAGCGAUGAUCAAAUGCCUGAACUACUUCAGCUGACUCUACGUAAAAGAACAGUGAAGGAGCUGUGCAGCUUCCCCCAAGCUUCUGUCAUUUAAGGUUGAAUUAGGAUUCUGCAAAUAAAUGCAAACAUGAUGCAGAAUAAUUCUACUACAACUCAUAAACUUUCUGCACACCCAGUAAGUCAUUAUUCAUUCUAGUGUCUAGAAUAUACUCUAAAUUGUACACAAGUCAAAUUAAAUCCAAAAUUCCUAAAUGCUCAGUUUUGCGGUGUGUGUAUCUGUAUAUACACACUUCUACAUACUCAACACUAAAGGUCAAGAGCUUCAUAUAAAGCCUCAGUAAGUAGCUUUUCUCCUCCAGGCAGCCCAGUGAGCUUCAGGUGGCUACAUAUCCUAUCUGUCAUGGCCAAGCAAUUUACGACCGUGACAGACAUCUAACAAACUGUGACCCUGUGCCGUAGCUUUAGGGUUGAAAGGUGGUGAUCGAUAUGAAGUCAUACAGCUGAAAACUAUUCUCUUUUUUAAGGAGAGCUGAGGAAAGUAAUUUGCUAUUAGAAGGCCAAGAUUUCUUGCUCAUGUGUGGCUUCAGCAUAGACAAGUAGAUCAUAACAAAAACACUCACUUGACAUAAAGUGGACGUUUUUUUCCACUGUCUUUCACAAUCAAACAGCUGCAGGUAGCUGGUUCCUGACAUGCAACAGGUUCUGAAGAAGCAGCAGGCGAAUCUGAUGCAAAAGCAAAGCAACGCUGAGUUGCGUGACCAAACUCAACAACUUGUAUGUACAAGCAAACAGAUAUGGUUCCCAUUUCCUCCACAUCUAUCCUUAAUGUUUGAACUACUCUCUCUCUCAGGUUCAGACUUCAUGAUGUUUGUGUCUGAUAAAACGCAAAGAUUAUAGUGAUGAGUUCUUGCUGCGACUUGUCUGAAUUACAUGAGAGACUCUGCGUUGGCCACCAACCAGACAGAGCCCGACAACUUUUCAUGACCUGUGUGAUAUCAUCAGGAACCAGGUGCUAUAGACCCACCUACUGGAAACAAGAAUGUGAACAAAAAAAUGACACAAAUGAUUUUUGCUUUGUUGUGUUCUGUAAAGAUUAAAAGGGUAAGGGGAAAAAACGACUGUGGAUGUGUCCAUGGAUACAGCAAGAAUGGAUCUUUCACUUCAUCAUGUUGUGUGCGAAAAGAGCACUUCAGGGUCUCAUUGGUCAACAUCACAGAUAUGUUAUGGAAGUUGUUGCACAACAGGAGACCAGGUGAGAAGGAAAUUGACAUGACUUGUUGUUGGGUUUUGCUGCCAGCUAUAAUAUGUUAGGAUACAGGGACUACUUGUCUUGCCUUUUGCUCAUUUCAGCUCCACCAACUCGUAACUGCUUGGAACAUUUGUGCAUUCAGUUUGUUGUGUAUCCCAGGCAGUGUGUCACCGGAGUUAAUAGGAGGCAUUUCAACCUGUGUCACACUUCUGCAGUUUGGUCAGGACAAUCCCUGGAACCAAAUUAAAUACUACAAUAGUCACAAUGACAAAACCAGCAUGCUGAACUUUAGAAGCUAAAAGAGUCACCGUGUGGCUUUAGUAAACUGGCAAUACUACUAAUUACCACAAAAACACAAAGUACAUUUAAAACUGAUGCCAUUUAUUUAGCAGGUAUUUGGUCACAAAAGAGAGUAUUGGACAAAGUGAAAUUUUGACCAAAGGAUUGUGCUAGAAUAAAUGUAAGGGGUUGGAAGCAUUCACAGUUCAUGUACAGGUGAACAUGAAUAUAUGUAUAUAAAUAAAUAAAAUGGCAAUAUAUCCCAUAGUUGAAAAAACAUUUAUUUUUUUUUUUUAAAAUGAAAUUAAAAAGUCCACAUGCUGGGGUUGCUUAAAGAAGGUUCAGGGGAUCAUUAAGUCAGUAGGACAGAUUGUUUGGGAACCAAAAUCAGUGCCAUUCCGUCAACUAGGUCUUGUGAUUUUAGAGUAAGAGUUGAUUAAAUUCUAAGUUGUCAACACUAGAGGGAAAUUCAUGAGGAUCAAAUAAUUGUCGAGAUAUUUCACCUUGAGCCAUAAAUGUUCACCUCACGUUGGCUCCAAAGGAAAAAUUCAGGAUGGAGGAAGUCAGUAGGACACAUUUUCCGAGGGUCAUGAAAGUUCCUAUGAACCAAACAAAUACAACCAAAAGUCCAUUAACAUCGAAGUACUUAAAAUGAGAGACAAAAAUUGUAUGUACAUUAACAGAAAACUGCUACCUCCUUAAAUAAAUUAUGAAUAUGUUGCAGUUGCCCUGAUGGACGUUUUUUUUACAUUAAUUUAUUUCAUACUUAGGAGUAUCUACAUCAAAGUCUUGUCUUGCUGAAGUGGGAGUUCUCCAACUGUUACACAUGGUUUGGGUUGUGGUUGGUUAGGGAUACAUUUAACGGUCGUGAAAUCCCCACUCAUGUUCUGCAGAGGUUCCUUACUCUCUAAAUGUCCUGCUGAGGCUUUUACAAAGCUGAACUACCCACAACAAUGGCAGUGUCCGCAGUAAACAAAGAUACACUUACACACACAUACCAGCCCACAGGUAUUCCUUUAGUCAUGCACACACUUACGCACACAUGCACACACAGAAUGACAAACUGUCUGGCCCCAUUUUUUUAGGCUCCAAAUUACAGACUUGCUUGCCCUGGUUAGCCUGACCCCACCCCGUGCUUUUCUGAGAAGCUGCACACACACACACACACACACACACACACACACACACACACACACAGCACCAUGCAAUACAGGAGCAACACCGAUCCUUUCCGCCCAAGGCCUUCUGUAAUCUUUGCCAUCCAGCUCUGCAGCAGCUAUCCAGAGUUUUCCAUCUGCAGGUGGUUUAUAUGAGUUAUUCUCAUUAACGCUGACACACAGGGCCUCAGGCUCAACCCUGCCACAUUUCUCUAUAAUUAUUGUGGUAUUUCUGCUGAUUUUUGUACUCUGUAGAGACUUUUGGAAAAAAAAAAUACUGUAGGAGAGAUGGGCUCACCAACUAAUGUGCCGCCCGAUUGAUGUGCAGUAUGGGUUAUGUAUUCAUUUUAACCCUUUUUUUAACCAGCUGAAAAAAAAAUGAAGAUCAUUAGUGUUGCACUGAAGCAUCAGUAUGACUCUUACCUCCAAGGUUACAAAAACGAAGACUGAGUGAUGUCAGGCACAAAGUAACAAAUUACUUGGGAGUAGGUCAGGCUGUUUAUUUACACUGUGCUUGCUAACAAGCAGUCUACUUAUUAUUGUUGCUGACAGUCCCACAAAAACAAUGGAGAAGUGAAAGGGAUGGUGUUUGGUCCAUGUAUAUUUUGGCAAUUGGAUUUUCCGUUCUGAAACGGGUAUUAAAAAACAAAAAAACGAGUUAUUUGAUUUUCGUUUUAAAAUACAAAAAUUAGAAUUGAAAUACAAGACAUUUUUCCUUUUCAUGAUCAAAAAGGGAUAUACGAAAUUUUAAAAAUGCUUAUAUUUUCAUUUUAUAUUUAGAAUAACAAAAAAGUAAAAUCACUAAGAGACAGAAACGAAAAAAGGUCUGUUUUUUCAUUUUCUGAGACCGGAGUGGUCAUCAGCAAGUGUGGAGCCAAACAGAGUACGGUGCAUAGACUGAAUUUUUUUCGUUAGUUUUCAUGGUCAAAAUGAGAGAUCAGGUGGCCGAUCAUAAAAUAAAUCAAUAUUGAUUUUUUUUAUAGAGCGUUAAAGUUUUGCGAAGCCAGGGGGCGGGGCUACUUGUUUGACAGUCUGGUCUGGAAUGAUUGACAGGUCCUAUGGAGGAGGCAGCAGAGACUCUGCUCUCCUCGUUUGGAUUAAUUCCGAUAUAAUAACUGUUGGUUUAUUGAUCGGUGCAGCAGCAGAACCUUUUCCACAGACAGUUUUCCUGCCCGUUGGCUUGUUUUAACCAGUUUUCUGUCUUCAGCUGAUUCUACCAGCAGACACUGAAAGGACUCUGAUAGUUCGAGUGAAAGUAGCAGUUCCUCCUGAAGGUCAGAGAUUGCAGCAUCUGAGGGCCUCUUCAAAAGAAGACGUAGUUGAUGAAGGCUUUCUGGAGCAGGACCAGAAAGACCACGACCAAGCAGCCUUGAGAUCUUAGGCAGCAUCUCCCUCAGGUCCCUCUCUAUCUCCCCACACAUCCACCAACCACUGGAACACAUCUCCAAAGUUCUGCUGGACCAGCUCAGCUUCCCCUCAGAAGAAGUGCCGCCACCUGCCAGAUGAAGGAGCCUUUUGAGAGGCAACUGGCAUCGUGAUUGGACUGUACUUUGGUCUGUUCCAAUCCAGCUUCAGCUCCAGAGACGGCAGGCGGGACGAGACAACGGAGGCCGGGUGGACGAAGGCAUGCAGCUGAGUCGGAAAAAAAAUGUAAUUUUUCAACAUGUUGUAAAAACGUGCCAUAUGAUGAAAUAAUGUAAAGGAGGCCGUGAAAAACACUCCAGAAAGGUUUUCUUUGAAAAAAAAUUCAUGAAUUUUGGCGCAAAAAAACGCCAUAGAAUACUGUCGAAAAAUGUAAUUUUUCAACAUGUCGUAAAAACGUGCCAUAUGAUGAAAUAAUGUAAAGGAGGCCGUGAAAAACACUCCAGAAAGGUUUUCUUUGAAAAAAAAUCAUGAAUUUUGGCGCAAAAAAACGCCAUAGUAUACUAUGGAGAAAAAAAAAUGCGAUUUUUCAAUAUGUUGUAAAAACGUGUCAUAUGAUGAAAUAAUGUAAAGGAGGCCGUGAAAAACACUCCAGAAAGGUUUUCUUUGAAAAAAAAAAAUCAUCAUGAAUUUUGGCGCAAAAAAACGCCAUAGUAUACUAUGGAGAAAAAAAAAUGCGAUUUUUCAACAUGUUGUAAAAACGUGUCAUAUGAUGAAAUAAUGUAAAGGAGGCCGUGAAAAACACUAUGGAAAGGUUUUCUUUAACAUCUGUAAACAAAACAAAAACGUAUCAACAAAGUUUUCUGUUCAGAGUUUGUGUUCUUCUAAGUUUAACUCCAAGACUUUAAAUACUUUCAUUUACUGCAAAUGAAUAUCUACUCCAAAUGUCUCACUAAUAAUCAUUAUCAGCCUUAAAAACCCACAAAACACCCCUCUAUACUCAGCCACACUUAGUACAGUCCGGUUCCCCCUUCUAUAAAUCUGCUUGGAAUCUUCCACUUCCUGUUUGUCAAAGUGGCCUUCUACCUGGACAGGUUCUGUUGGAGCUCAUGCAACAAACAUUUUAGGUAACUGCACUUUAAUAUGGAUG